AUUUCUUAUGCGACGUACUUUGCUCAUUUACGUUUUGUGCCGUGUUCCUUCUCCCUCAGUUAUGGAAUGAUUUAUCCUAGCAAAUUGUUGAGUUACAGAUGUGUGCGCUAUUUAUCAACGACUACCUGCUAGCGUCGUCAACAAUCUUCAAUGUGAGCGACGGAAAGAAAACGUUUUCCAGUUUUAAAAUAUUAAGCCCCCGGUGAGGACGUCAUUCAACACGCGCAGCUCCUGUUCAUGACGUCAUCACGAAACUGAAGCCAGCUGAACACGCGCAGCACUGAUGGUACCCCGAG